AUACGGAAGAUGCGAGCGUUAUCCGGAUUUAUUGGGUUUAAAGGGAGCGUAGGCGGACGCUUAAGUCUGCGGUAAAAUGUCGAUGCUCAACAUCGUCCUGCCGUGGAAACUGGGUGUCUUGAAUGUGCACAAGGUGGAUGGAAUUCGUGGUGUAGCGGUGAAAUGCUUAGAUAUCACGAAGAACUCCGAUUGCGAAGGCAGUCCACUGGGGCAUGAUUGACGCUGAGGCUCGAAAGUGCGGGAAUCAAACAGGAUUAGAUACCCUGGUAGACCGCACCGUAAACGAUGAAUGCUCGUUAUGGGCGAUAUACCGUCCGUGACCAAGCGAAAGCAUUAAGCAUUCCACCUGGGGAGUACGCCGGCAACGGUGAAACUUAAAGGAAUUGACGGGG
rnacentral:rRNA from 1 species